UACGUAGGGUGCAAGCGUUGUCCGGAAUUAUUGGGCGUAAAGAGCUUGUAGGCGGUUUGUCGCGUCUGCUGUGAAAUUUCGGGGCUCAACCCCGAACUUGCAGUGGGUACGGGCAGACUAGAGUGUGGUAGGGGAGACUGGAAUCCUGGUGUAGCGGUGAAAUGCGCAGAUAUCAGGAGGAACACCGAUGGCGAAGGCAGGUCUCUGGGCAUUAACUGACGCUGAGGAGCGAAAGCAUGGGGAGCGAACAGG
rnacentral:rRNA from 1 species